rnacentral:pre_miRNA from 1 species
UUGAAAAAUAUAUAACUGUCCAGUGCGUGUCGGAGAGUAAUUUCAUGUUAGUGACAUCACUACUGUCAUGGAGUUGCUCUCUUAUUAGCGCUGAGGCCA